rnacentral:rRNA from 1 species
UACAUGGGGUGCAAACGUUGCUCGGAAUUAUUGGGCGUAAAGCGCGCGUAGGCGGUUACUUAAGUCGGAUGUGAAAGCCCUCGGCUUAACUGAGGAAGUGCACCCGAAACUGAGUAGCUAGAGUACGAAAGAGGGUCGCGGAAUUCCCGGUGUAGAGGUGAAAUUCGUAGAUAUCAGGAGGAACACCGGUGGCGAAGGCGGUUCUCUGGGAAUAUCCUGACGCUGAGGAGCGAAAGUGUGGGGAGCGAACAGG